rnacentral:rRNA from 1 species
CCUACGGGGUGCUGCAGUGGGGAAUAUUGGACAAUGGGCGAAAGCCUGAUCCAGCCAUGCCGCGUGUGUGAAGAAGGCCUUCGGGUUGUAAAGCACUUUCAGCGGGGAAGAAAGCCUUGGGGCUAAUACCCUCGAGGAAGGACAUCACCCACAGAAGAAGCACCGGCAACUCCGUGCCAGCAGCCGCGGUAAUACGGAGGGUGCGAGCGUUAAUCGGAAUUACUGGGCGUAAAGCGCGCGUAGGCGGUCUGAUAAGCCGGUUGUGAAAGCCCCGGGCUCAACCUGGGAACGGCAUCCGGAACUGUCAGGCUAGAGUGCAGGAGAGGAAGGUAGAAUUCCCGGUGUAGCGGUGAAAUGCGUAGAGAUCGGGAGGAAUACCAGUGGCGAAGGCGGCCUUCUGGACUGACACUGACGCUGAGGUGCGAAAGCGUGGGUAGCAAACAGGAUUAGAUACCCCGUAGUC